rnacentral:rRNA from 1 species
GUUCAAACGAGGAGAGGCUUACGGUGGAUACCUAGGCACCCAGAGACGAGGAAGGGCGUAGUAAGCGACGAAAUGCUUCGGGGAGUUGAAAAUAAGCGGAGAUCCGGAGAUUCCCGAAUAGGUCAACCUUUCAAACUGCUGCUGAAUCU